UCUCCUUUCUUUAAUCAGUGAAACUAAUCUCCCCGUGAAGAAGCGGGGAUAAGCCUAUAAGACGAGAAGACCCUAUGGAGCUUUAAACAUAAGUAACAACUGCCCAUUAAAUUUUUUAAUCUCAGGAAAUUAAUCACAACACUUAGGCACUUUGAUUACAAGUUUUAGGUUGGGGUGACCGCGGAGCAAAAAAUAACCUCCGCAGUGAAUGGAACUUAUUUCCUAAACCCAGGGCUACGACCCUAAGAAUCAAUAAAUUGACACUGAUUGACCCAAUAUUUUUGAUCAAUGAACCAAGUUACCCUAGGGAUAACAGCGCAAUCCACUUCAAGAGCCCCUAUCGACAAGUGG
rnacentral:rRNA from 1 species